rnacentral:lncRNA from 1 species
AUGUCCCCUGGACUCUACAUUUUCCAUGGACCAAGACUGGAAGGAGCUUCUGCGAUCGGAGGAGGACUAAAGGCUGGGCCAGCUGGGCAGUUGCUCCAGGCUGUGGAUACUGAACUGCACUGA